rnacentral:rRNA from 1 species
UACGUAGGUGGCAAGCGUUGUCCGGAUUUACUGGGCGUAAAGAGCUCGUAGGUGGUUUGUCGCGUUGUUCGUGAAAACUCACAACUCAAUUGUGGGCGUGCGGGCGAUACGGGCAGACUGGAGUACUGCAGGGGAGACUGGAAUUCCUGGUGUAGCGGUGGAAUGCGCAGAUAUCAGGAGGAACACCGGUGGCGAAGGCGGGUUGCUGGGCUGACACUGACGCUGAUGCGCGAAAGCCAGGGGAGCGAACGGG